rnacentral:rRNA from 1 species
GAUGAACGCUAGCGGCAGGCCUAACACAUGCAAGUCGAGGGAGAAGCCCUUCGGGGCAGAAACCGGCGCACGGGUGCGUAACGCGUAUGCAACCUACCUUUCACAGGGGGAUAGCCCGAAGAAAUUUGGAUUAAUACCCCAUAAUAUUAUUGGAUGGCAUCAUUUGAUAAUUAAAAUUACGAUGGUGAAAGAUGGGCAUGCGUCCUAUUAGCUAGUUGGAGUGGUAACGGCACCCCAAGGCUACGAUAGGUAGGGGUCCUGAGAGGGAGAUCCCCCACACUGGUACUGAGACAGGGACCAGACUCCUACGGGAGGCAGCAGUGAGGAAUAUUGGUCAAUGGUCGGAAGACUGAACCAGCCAUGCCGCGUGCAGGAAGAAUGCCUUAUGGGUUGUAAACUGCUUUUAUAUGGGAAGAAUAAGGCGUACGUGUACG